UUUUUUUUUUUUUUUUUUUUUUUUUUUGGUUUUUCGAGACAGGGUUUCUCUGUAUAGCCCUGGCUGUCCUGGAACUCACUUUGUAGACCAGGCUGGCCUCGAACUCAGAGAUCUGCCUGCCUCUGCCUCCCGAGUGCUGGGAACAUUUCUUUACAUUGUGGUUUUCCAGAGAGCGGAGGUGCUUGACUGGAACCCAGUGAACUACUUCAGCUAGGCUCCACUGCUCUAGUGCUCACAGCCUGACAGCCUGUGGCCCUCAGACCAAAUCAUGAAUCUGUGGCUGCCUUCUAGAUUUAACUGCAGCCUUUGUCUUCAUUCAAGGCCUCAGUUCUCUUGAUUCGUGUUCAGUCUCAUAUCUGAAGUGAUGUCUUGUUUGCUUUUCCUCAAGCUUCGGAUUUCUCUUGAGAUUUCUUUUGAAAUUUAUGAUGAAUUGUGCUAUUUCUGUCAAAAUCAUUGGAAUUUUGAUAAGAAUUUUAUUAAUUGUGCAUGUCUUGGGCAAUAUUGGAUUCCUAAUUCUAUUAGAUCUUUUACUUCUUGAAUUUGGAAUAUCAUUGGAAUUUUUUAUGCUUUUAUUUCUUUCAGGAACAUUUUACUAUUUUCAUCGUUACAGAUUUUAACUUCCUUGGUUAAGUUUAUCCCUAAAUAUUUUAUUAUUUGUAAUGCUGUUGUCUGUAGAGUUGCUUUCUUAAUUUGCUUUUUAGAAUCCUCAUUGUUAGUGUGCACACUUUGUUUACUGAAACUUUGUUGUAUUUGGUUUUUGGUUUUGAUAGUUUUUUGCUUAUUUUGUUGUUUUCGAAGCAGAAUUUCACUAUGUAGCCCAGGCUAGCUUAGAGUAUGUUAGGCCUGAGGUGGGUGGGCCUCAACAGUUGCAGCCCUGGCUCUCAUCCUCUUGAAUGACUGCAUAGCAGGCAAUGAGUCAUACUCAACAGUGGGCAGCAUUUAUGGUGGUAUUUUUCUUUAUUUGUGUGACAUCUUUAUAGAGUUUUCUGUAUAAAAGAUCUUGCUGACAAAAACAAUGUUGAUGAUGAUGUUGUUGACGAUGAUGAUGCCAGGUGUGGCGACACACACCUUUAAUCCUAACACUUGAGAGGCAGAGGCUGAUGGAUCUCCUAGUUUGAGGUCUGUAAAGCAAAUUCCAGGAGGCCAGGGUAACACAGAGAAACCCUGUCUGAGAAAAACAACAACAAUAACAACAACAACAACAAAGGUCACACUGUCAGCAGAGUUCAUUUUCCUUCUUCCUUUCCGUUUUACCUGUCUGUUACUCUAUUUCUUGUCUGAUUGUUCUGGCUCUAAACACAGCAUGGGUUUGUAUAGAAAGUGCUAAACUAGGUGUUCUUUUCCUGUUCCUGAUUUUAGAAGGAAUGUUUUGAGCCAGUCUUGAAUGUUCGCUGUGGGCUUUUCAUAUAUAGUCUUUUCAUAUUGAGACAGUUUCCCUGUACUCAUUUAUAGUUUGUUGCUUUUCUAUAGGGAAAUUAUUAUGAAUUAUUUUUCCGAUCCAUUUUCUGCACAGAGUUGACCAUUCCCCUAUCCCUUGUUAUUCUAUUAAUGUGUGAUAUAUUUAUUUUUAAUAUAUUGAAUCAUCCUUGCAUUUCUGACUGAGGCUUUUAGUUUUGAACCUUUGCUAAACUUUUCUGUUUUUGCCUCCGACAGUUAGAAAAAGUCCUUCAGCAAGGAGACAUUGGAGAGUGUGCAGAACCAUAUAUGAUUUUCAAAGAAGCUGAUGCCACCAAGGUACCAUGUCAGGCCCCUCAUUUUCUCAUGUCACUUCUAAUGUAAUUUGGGAAAAAUAAAAACAUAAACCCUGUUUAAAAAAUUUCAAUGCUAAUUCAUUUAUUUCUGUUGGUCUACUUCCUGUCAUUCUGUUUCCCCAUUGUCUGUGUCAUUUGGCUUGUGUCAUGUUCCAUGUUAGUCUUAAAGAUCUCUUCUGCCUGGUGGGGAGGGGCAGAGAGAUAGCUUAGUGGGCAAAGGCAUUUGCUUUGCAAGCCUGAUGAUCAUAGCUUGACCCCAGACUCCAGAAUGCUCUUUUCUGAGCUUAAUGACACACACAAUGAAACACUCCUCCCACGACACAGACCCACACACUAAGAGUACUAGCAGUGAUAGUAAUUAAAUACAGCUUAAAAAUUAUUUUUGUUGGUGAGAACGAAUCUAACUGAAUUUAACUUAUAAAUAAUUUUAAAGUUUUUAUUUUCUCAAUAGUGAUAUUGGUGAAACUUCCUAGCAAUGAUUUUUGUCAUCUUGAGAGAAAAGAAAAAUGGGCAAGUGUCACAGGCACUUAUGUCUCAGAAGGCGUGGAUUAGCAAAGGGGGAUGGGCAGCCAUGAGCUCCUCCCCAGCUGCCAGCUGUAAAGCACCGGGCAGUGAGUGACUUGUUAAGCCUGUUGUGCUGGAAAGGAUGGAGGUAACUGAGCUAAUUUUACACAGUCCAUAAAUUACAACAGCCAUGAGGUGGGAACAAAACUGUGUUAGCAUGAAUUUAACUACACAACCGGUGACCAGAAAAGCAUGUCAGGAGCUCAAGUGAACGAGCAGUGCUUUAAAGAAAGUUUCGAGGAAGGCUUAGUUUUUGAGGUAGUUUCAAGUAAGACUCAGUUUUUGUUCUGGAGCUCAUAAAGACAAAACUUUUCCUGGAUUUAUCUCUCUUCUAGUUGUUCUCCUAUUAAUUUCUGUGUUAAAAAGACUGGCCAUAAUUACGUAUCCUUUCCUAAAGACCACUUGUGAUGUGUGCUAUUGGCUCUAGCCCGCCCCCCCCCCCCCCCCCCAAGGUGAGAGAAUCACAAAGAGAAACUGCACACUGCCUUCUCUGAAUGUUUGCGGUGAGCGGAGAUGUGGGAUUGAGGAAAGUUACUGCUCCCUCCCCUGCAUACAUGCUAAGCCUGUGUUUUGCUGGAUUUGCUAAGAAUUCAGCACCUUUAGCCUGUCCUUGAUAUUGUGUGAAAUAGCCCUUAGGUUGUGUCUUUCAAGUGUGAUCAUGGAUCAAGUUCUGUUUUACAGAAUAAGGAAAAAUUGGAGAAAUUGAAAAGUCAAGCUGACCAAUUUUGCCAGAGACUUGGGAAAUACCGCAUGCCUUUUGCUUGGACUGCGAUUCAUUUAAUGAAUAUUGUUAGCAGUGCUGGCAGCUUAGAAAGAGACUCCACAGAAGUCGAGAUCAGUACUGGAGGUAAGAGUGCUCAGUAGACAUUGUUGCGAGUAGUGAUCUCUCCCCUUAUAGAGGCUUGUGUCAGUUGGAAGGUUUCCUCAGGUGGCGUUGGUGCCACACAGCUAUAAUCUGGGUGCUUGGCUGGGUCAGCAUCUGCUUCAGUCCCAGGGCAGUGCAGGCUUCAUUCCUGAGGCUGUGCCACUCCCUCAUCCUAAACC
rnacentral:lncRNA from 1 species